CCGGCCCUGUCCCACUUCCUCACCCCUCACAAGACCCUACAUCAUCCCCCACCCAGGCCGUGUCUGCAUUCUCUCCUGCCCUCUGGCCCCAGGAAUACAAAAUAAUGAGGGAGAUCCUGCUGCUCCAGGAGGCGGCAGAUAACUACAAACUUGAGCCCAAGGAGUGAUUUGGGGCCUGGUUCCAGGCCAUGGAGCAGCUCAGCAAGGGAAAGAGUCACCAGGCCCCCGACACGGAGCCCAGUUCCAGUGGCCGAUGACACUCCUGAGCCCAGCUCCAGAGCGGCCUCUUCCCCAGCAACAGGGACACAGCUGAACACUCAGGGUGCACUGGGUCACCUCCUCUGGUUCUCAUCUGAAGGAGAGCUUUGUGAUCCUUUUUCUGGGGUCCCCUGUAGGCCACAAGGGAGGGAUCGACCCCCCCCCCAACUUCCUCAUCCCUCUUCCCCAGCCCCUACUUACCUAUUUGGAGGGGCAAUUUUUUUUUGUGAAUAGUAAAUGCUAAGUUUAAUAUUA